AAUGUGUUCAAUGUAAGUAUCGAUGGUAAAAAUUUUAGGUGUGUUGAAAGGCGGAAUAUCUAGUAGAAUCAAGCAAAGCAGAACUAAACUCUACGAAUUCAAAACAUUUGCAGUAUUUCUUAAGCAUCAGUUUCCUUGGAAUCAUGGGUCUUCUGUGUUUCCCUUCAUUUUAAUUUUAGAUUUU